rnacentral:lncRNA from 1 species
CAAAUGAGAAGAGGAGGAGAGAAAGGUUAGGAGAUUUUCCAAUUCGACACACUCCUGGAGAUAGGAAACAUUAAGCCGCAUUAAAGCCAGUCCCAGCCAGGCUUAAGGAGAGCUGGAAUGGAGAGGAUUCUCAUCUAACAUCUGGGUUGCAGUUGUAUGUUAACAUGGACUUCCUAGGAAGUAACAUAUCAAACAAAAGGGAAAGUGAUCAACCAGCAGCAGGUACCAGCCACAGUUAACUGCACCUGCUAGGAGCUCUGAAAGACUUUUUUUUUUUUUAAACGAAUAAAGAAAUUCUCAUUUCACUCUCCUCCACACUGGACUCGCUGAAGAAAGAGUAGCUGGCUGGAGGAAGCUAUCCAGAGGGAAGCAGCACAGCAUCUAUGCACAGACAUAGCAAAUAAGAGCAAGUGAACCACGCCACACUUACGACUAUGUCAACAAAGGAAUAGAAGCAAAGGAAAAGACUGACAUAGCUUAGACUGGGAAUCCUUCUAGAAAGUAAGAAAGAAUUCAGAGAGAUUCCUCUCUCUAGUCUUGAAGAAAUGAAGGUCUUCAAAAUGAAGAUUGAAGAAAUAUAGAAUAUCUAAAAAAAAAGAAAGAUAAAGUGGUAUAUAUUUUCUUUAAACAAAAAUCAUUAAACCAAAGAUUUGCCUCUUUGACUGUAAUGCCCUCUCCUCUUAGCUAACUCCUUCAUCCUUUUUCACAGUGACUGUUCUUUAGACUCACAACAAUCUCAGUCUUUUGACGCAUCUAGUCUUCCCAUCCAUCUCUCCUUUCUUUCCUUCCUCCUUAGCUGGCUUAGAUUUUAUAGUCCAUUGUUUCAAGAAAACUAUUGGGGAUUAAGCCCAUCUUAUGUAUUUGUACUUCGGAUAACAACCCCACUCACUUUCUCAUAAAAAAAACUAUUGUAUUUUUCUCUGUCUUCUGUAUUCAACCUUUCCUUCUCAACAGGGGUUAUUGUAUUUUCUUAAAAUGUUCAUAUUUCUCUCAUUAAAAUAAAAAUACAAUGAUCAUCACCAAAAAACUCUUGCGUCCACACACACCCAC